rnacentral:rRNA from 1 species
UGCGUAGGGUGCAAGCGUUGUCCGGAAUCACUGGGCGUAAAGCGCGUGUAGGCGGGAAGGCAAGUCUGCUGUGAAAGCGCCUGGCUUAACCGGGCGAGGUCGGCGGAAACUGCUUACCUGGAGGACGGUAGAGGGGGGUGGAAUUCCCGGUGUAGCGGUGAAAUGCGUAGAUAUCGUGGAGAACACCCGUGGCGAAAGCGGGUUUCUGGCAGACUCCUGACGCUGAGGCGCGAAGGCUAGGGGAGCAAACGGG